CAUAUCAAUAAGCGGAGGAAAAGAAACCAACAGGGAUUGCCUCAGUAGCGGCGAGUGAAGCGGCAAAAGCUCAAAUUUGAAAUCUGGCGUCUUUGGCGUCCGAGUUGUAAUUUGAAGAAGGUAUCUUUGGGCCCGGCUCUUGUCUAUGUUCCUUGGAACAGGACGUCACAGAGGGUGAGAAUCCCGUGCGAUGAGAUGACCCGGGUCUGUGUAAAGUUCCUUCGACGAGUCGAGUUGUUUGGGAAUGCAGCUCUAAGUGGGUGGUAAAUUCCAUCUAAAGCUAAAUAUUGGCGAGAGACCGAUAGCGAACAAGUACAGUGAUGGAAAGAUGAAAAGAACUUUGAAAAGAGAGUGAAAAAGUACGUGAAAUUGUUGAAAGGGAAGGGCUUGAGAUCAGACUUGGUAUUUUGCAUGCUGCUCUCUCGGGGGCGGCCGCUGCGGUUUACCGGGCCAGCAUCGGUUUGGAGCGGCAGGAUAAUGGCGGAGGAAUGUGGCACGGCUUCUGCUGUGUGUUAUAGCCUCUGACGAUACUGCCAGCCUAGACCGAGGACUGCGGUUU
rnacentral:rRNA from 1 species